rnacentral:tRNA from 1 species
CGCUGCGCUCCUGGGCAGGACGACGGGCUUCAUAUGCCUGCGCGCGACGGCUCGACUCCGUCCGCAGCGACCA